UCCGUGGUGUUAAGAUGGCCUCUUUGCCUUAAGGCAUUAGCUGCCACCAUCUUGUUAACACAGGAAGCUAGCAAAUUAACUCUAGGACAGCAACUAACCGUCUGGGUGCCACACUGAGUCAUAACUUUGAUGGAUCAAAGAAGGCACCAUUAGUUAUCAAACCUGAGGAUGACUCAGUACCAAGGGCUUCUAUGUGAAAACCCUUACACAAUUUUAGAACAGUAAACACCCUAACCCGGCUAUUCUGCUCCCAGUCGAACAGGCAGCUCCUCUCCAUAACUGUGUCAAAACAGUAGACGAGGUAUUCCCCAAUGAGAAAGAUCUUACAGACAGACCCCUCAGAGACCCAGAUGUCAAGUACUUCACAGGUGGAAGUAGUUCUGUGCUAGAAGAGUUUGGACAUGCCGGGUAUGCAGUGGUAACAUCAGACUCAGUAGUAGAGGCUCAGCCUCUGCCUACCGGAACAUCAGCUCAAAAGGCAGAAUUAAUAGCCCUGACAAGAGCACUGUUGCUAGCAAAAGAGAAGUCAGUAUUUACACUAAUUCUAAGUAUGCUUUUACUACCUUGCAUGUACAUGGAACUAUAUAUAAAGAGAGAGGACUUUUAUCAGCUAGAGGCAAGAAAUAAAGUACAAAGAAGAGAUUCUACAGCUCUUAGAGGCAGUAUAGGCUCCAGAGAAAGUAGCUAUAAUGCACUGCAGAGGGCACCAAAUGGCAAGGAUGCCAGAAGCCACAGGAAACAGAAAGGCAGAGAGGCAAAGCAGGCAGCAAUGAUCACGCUGCAUUUUAAAGAGGAAGCCUUAGCUAUGCCUCUCCUCCCAGAACCUCCUCUCCAAGACAACCCAAGUUAUACUCCAAAUCAAAGAUCCUGGUUUGCCCAAGAAGAUAAAAAAUAUAUUAAAAGAAG
rnacentral:lncRNA from 1 species